UGACAGUGAUGAGUUACACUUCGGGUCCGUGUUUAUGAACACAAUGAUUUCUUUAGAAGUUCUGAGUUG